rnacentral:rRNA from 2 species
UAGGUGGCAAGCGUUAUCCGGAUUUAUUGGGCGUAAAGAGAGUGCAGGCGGUUUUCUAAGUCUGAUGUGAAAGCCUUCGGCUUAACCGGAGAAGUGCAUCGGAAACUGGAUAACUUGAGUGCAGAAGAGGGUAGUGGAACUCCAUGUGUAGCGGUGGAAUGCGUAGAUAUAUGGAAGAACACCAGUGGCGAAGGCGGCUACCUGGUCUGCAACUGACGCUGAGACUCGAAAGCAUGGGUAGCGAACAGGAUUAGAUACCCUGGUAGUCCAUGCCGUAAACGAUGAGUGCUAGGUGUUGGAGGGUUUCCGCCCUUCAGUGCCGGAGCUAACGCAUUAAGCACUCCGCCUGGGGAGUACGACCGCAAGGUUGAAACUCAAAGGAAUUGACGGGGGCCCGCACAAGCGGUGGAGCAUGUGGUUUAAUUCGAAGCUACGCGAAGAACCUUACCAGGUCUUGACAUCUUGCGCCAACCCUAGAGAUAGGGCGUUUCCUUCGGGAACGCAAUGACAGGUGGUGCAUGGUCGUCGUCAGCUCGUGUCGUGAGAUGUUGGGUUAAGUCCCGCAACGAGCGCAACCCUUGUUACUAGUUGCCAGCAUUAAGUUGGGCACUCUAGUGAGACUGCCGGUGACAAACCGGAGGAAGGUGGGGACGACGUCAGAUCAUCAUGCCCCUUAUGACCUGGGCUACACACGUGCUACAAUGGACGGUACAACGAGUCGCGAACUCGCGAGGGCAAGCAAAUCUCUUAAAACCGUUCUCAGUUCGGACUGCAGGCUGCAACUCGCCUGCACGAAGUCGGAAUCGCUAGUAAUCGCGGAUCAGCAUGCCGCGGUGAAUACGUUCCCGGGCCUUGUACACACCGCCCGUCACACCAUGAGAGUUUGUAACACCCAAAGUCGGUGGGGUAACCUUUUAGGAGCCAGCCGCCUAAGGUGGGACAGAUGAUUAGGGUGAAGUCGUAAC